rnacentral:rRNA from 1 species
CCUACGGGAGGCAGCAGUGGGGGAUAUUGCACAAUGGGGGAAACCCUGAUGCAGCGACGCCGCGUGUGGGAAGACGGUCCUCUGGAUUGUAAACCACUGUCCCCAGGGACGAAGAUGACGGUACCUGGGGGGGAAGCUCCGGCUAACUACGUGCCAGCAGCCGCGGUAAUACGUAGGGAGCGAGCGUUGUCCGGAAUUACUGGGUGUAAAGGGAGCGUAGGCGGGACUGCAAGUUGGGUGUCAAAUCUACCGGCUCAACCGGUAGCCGCACUCAAAACUGCAGUUCUUGAGUGAAGUAGAGGCAGGCGGAAUUCCUAGUGUAGCGGUGAAAUGCGUAGAGAUUAGGAGGAACACCAGUGGCGAAGGCGGCCUGCUGGGCUUUUACUGACGCUGAGGCUCGAAAGUGUGGGGAGCAAACAGGAUUAGAUACCCCUGUAGUC